CAAACCCGCCCGGAGCCGCGCGGGGCCCCGCAGGAGCCGCCCUGAGGGGGCCAAUUCCUGAAAACCCCAAAUUCCUGAAAACCCCAAAAUUCAGGAUGGGGAUUCGGGAUCCCAUCCUGGGAACGUUUACAGAUCCCACUGUGCCAUUCCCCCCUUUUUUCCCCAUUUUUUUCCCAAUUUUUCCCUCUUUUUUCCCAAUUUUUUCCCAUUUUUCCCAUUUUUCCCCCCCUUUUUUCAAUUUUUCCCCCUUUUUUUCCCCCUCAUUUUUCCCCCUCUUCCCCUGGUUUUCCCACUGGGAUUUUUGGGGUUUGCUUUUGUCCCAAUCCAGAAAUUUUCUCCCCAAAAAAUUCCCAAAAUCCCAACCCCGACCUCGCGCUGGCUGUGAAUGGGAGGAAAUUUGGGAUUUUGGAGGGGGAAAUUUGGAAUUUUUGGGGCAAAAUUUGGGAUUUUGGGGAGGAAAUUUGGGAUUUUGGGGUCUCCCAACAUCUGGGAUGUUCCCUGUAGGAUUUGGGGGGGGUCCCUGCAUUCCUGACCCCCCCAAAUUUGGGAAUUUUCCCAUUGGAAUUUACGAUUUCCCCUCAAAAUUUGGGAUUUCCCUUUGGGAUUUGGGAUUUUUUUGGGAUUUCAUUUUGGGAUUUUUUGGGAUUUUCCUUUGGGAUUUCUCCCUUUGGAAUUUGGGAUUUUUUUUGAAUUUUCCUUUGGAAUUUGGGAUUUUUUGGGAUUUCCCUUUGGGAUUUGUGCUGUCCCCCCUCCCCCCAUUAAACUCCACCAUUUUUGGGUUUUCUCUGGAAUUUAUUUCAGGAAUUUCCUCCCCACCCUCCCCAAACCCAGCCCCGAAUUUUUGGGAAUUCUGGGAGAUUCCCCAAUUUCCCUUUUUUUUUUUUUUUCCAUUUUUUUUCCCAGUUUGGGUUUUUUUUUUUGUUUUCUCUUUUUUUGGGGAAUUUUUCCCUUCAAGGAACAAAACUUGAGAACAAAUCCAAUAAAAACUUUGGAGCUUUAAAAUUUGGGAAUUUC
rnacentral:lncRNA from 1 species